GACGAACGCUGGCGGCGUGCUUAACACAUGCAAGUCGAACGGAAAGGCCCUGCUUUUGUGGGGUGCUCGAGUGGCGAACGGGUGAGUAACACGUGAGUAACCUGCCCUUGACUUUGGGAUAACUUCAGGAAACUGGGGCUAAUACCGGAUAGGAGCUCCUGCUGCAUGGUGGGGGUUGGAAAGUUUCGGCGGUUGGGGAUGGACUCGCGGCUUAUCAGCUUGUUGGUGGGGUAGUGGCUUACCAAGGCUUUGACGGGUAGCCGGCCUGAGAGGGUGACCGGCCACAUUGGGACGGAGAUACGGCCCAGCCUCCUACGGGAGGCAGCAGUGGGGAAUAUUGCACAAUGGGCGGAAGCCUGAUGCAGCAACGCCGCGUGCGGGAUGACGGCCUUCGGGUUGUAAACCGCUUUCGCCUGUGACGAAGCGUGAGUGACGGUAAUGGGUAAAGAAGCACCGGCUAACUACGUG
rnacentral:rRNA from 1 species